rnacentral:rRNA from 1 species
UGGCCUACGGGGGGCAGCAGUCGGGAAUAUUGCGCAAUGGAGGAAACUCUGACGCAGUGACGCCGCGUGCAGGAAGAAGGUUUUCGGAUUGUAAACUGCUUUAGACAGGGAAGAAAAAAGACAGUACCUGUAGAAUAAGCUCCGGCUAACUACGUGCCAGCAGCCGCGGUAAUACGUAGGGAGCGAGCGUUGUCCGGAUUUACUGGGUGUAAAGGGUGCGUAGGCGGCUUGGCAAGUCAGUAGUGAAAUCCAUGGGCUUAACCCAUGAACUGCUAUUGAAACUGUCGAGCUUGAGUGAAGUAGAG